rnacentral:snoRNA from 1 species
AACCUGUGGUGUGGACAUUUAUUCAACAACUCCUUGAAACUCUCACAGAUCUCGUAGAAAGACUCCCCCUCUUUCUGAUGAUAGGAUGGAAUCAUGCUCCGAAGACG